UCGACUUCGACAAAAAAUCGAAAUAAUUAUAUCCCUAAAGAAACAGUUGUGUUGUGAAAUAAUACGAGGCAUCCGCUGUCUUAAUGGAAAGGAUAAAUUAAAAUGAUCACAAAAUUAUUAGGCGAUUUGAAGAAACAUGAACUAUCCCAUUCAGCUUAUAGAGUUGCCCGUUUUGUUAGGAAUAUUUGCAGUAUUGAAUUAAGUAUUGAAAAUUUAAAAAAAGAUAUAUUUUUCGUUUUUUUCGAAACACAGAUUGCACAGUUAUUACUAUACUAUUGGAUACUAUUUUCUAUCUUUGUUAAUGGGAGAACUCUCAACAAAUGUCUGGUUUUAAGAGACCUCAUGUAUCGGCAACUUUCAGUACCAAUAUUAAGCUGAGUUGGAACAAGGGUUAGUGUCCAGAAUAUAGUAUAUAGGAGGGUGUCAUCAUGGGACAUUAGGCACUAUAUACGCUUAAGGGCACUUAACUCAUACUUUUCCUUUGUAUUUGCAUAUUCAGCCUCUAUUGUAAAAACCCAGGCCGUUAUCAUUGAGAAAAAAUAUUAAUCGCGUUAGUUGAUAAGACCGUAUAUGUAAUAUUGCAGAACUGAGAUCUUGUAGUAAAGUAUAUUGGUCUAUUGACUCAAAAGCAGUAUAAUAAAAUCAUUUUGCACGAUUCUUUA
rnacentral:sRNA from 1 species